GAGGCCUAGUGGUUAGAGCAUCCGCCUCGGAUGCAGAAGGUCGUGGGUUUGAUCCCCGGUCAAGUCA